rnacentral:rRNA from 1 species
AAAAACAUGGCCUUUUGAUUAUAAUUUAAGGUCUAACCUGCCCAAUGAGUUUUAAAUGGCCGCAGUAUUUUGACUGUGCAAAGGUAGCAUAAUCAAUAGUUUUUUAAUUGAAAGCUGGUAUGAAAGGUUGGAUGAGAAAAUAGCUGUCUCAGUUUAAAUUUAUUAGAAUUUUAUUUUUAAGUUAAAAAGCUUAAAUGAAAAUAGAAGACGAGAAGACCCUAUAGAGUUUUAUACUUGUAUAUAUAAAUUUUUUUAGUAUUUUUAUAUUUUUUUAUAUUAUAGUAUUUGAUUGGGGUGAUUGGAAAAUUAAAUAAACUUUUCUUUAUUGAUACAUUUAUUUAUGAAUGAAUGAUCCUUAAAUUGAGAUUAAAAGAUUAAAUUACCUUAGGGAUAACAGCGUAAUUUUUUUUGAGAGUUCUUAUCGAAAGAAAAGAUUGCGACCUCGAUGUUGGAUUAAAAUUUAUUUAUGGUGUAGAAGCUAUAAGAUUAGGUCUGUUCGACCUUUAAAAUUUUACUUGAUCUGAGUU